GAUGAACGCUGGCGGCGUGCCUAACACAUGCAAGUCGAACGGAAAGGCCCUGCUUUUGUGGGGUGCUCGAGUGGCGAACGGGUGAGUAACACGUGAGUAACCUGCCCUUGACUUUGGGAUAACUUCAGGAAACUGGGGCUAAUACCGGAUAGGAGCCCCCGCUGUAUGGUGGGGGUUGGAAAGUUUCGGCGGUUGGGGAUGGACUCGCGGCUUAUCAGCUUGUUGGUGGGGUAGUGGCUUACCAAGGCUUUGACGGGUAGCCGGCCUGUGAGGGUGACCGGCCACAUUGGGACUGAGAUACGGCCCAGACUCCUACGGGAGGCAGCAGUGGGGAAUAUUGCACAAUGGGCGGAAGCCUGAUGCAGCAACGCCGCGUGCGGGAUGACGGCCUUCGGGUUGUAAACCGCUUUCGCCUGUGACGAAGCGUGAGUGACGGUAAUGGGUAAAGAAGCACCGGCUAACUACGUG
rnacentral:rRNA from 1 species